GCCUUUUGUAGAAUGAGCCAGCGAGUCGCUGGCGCGGGGCGAGGUUAACCGAAAGGGAGCCGGAGCGAAAGCGAGCCUUAACAGGGCGACUUGAGUCCCGCGCCGCGGACGCGAAGCCGGGUGAGCUAUCCGUGGGCAGGCUGAAGCGGGGGUAAGACCCCGUGGAGGGCCGAACGCACGUCGGUUGAAAACGGCGGCGAUGACCUGCGGAUAGGGGUGAAAGGCCAAUCAAACCCGGAGAUAUCUCGUUCUCCCCGAAAUAGCUUUAGGGCUAGCGUCGCGCGUUCACCGCCGGAGGUAGAGCACCGGAUGGACGAGGGGGCUUCGCCGCCUACCGAAUCCAACCGAACUCCGAAUGCCGGCGGCCCAGAGCGCGGCAGUCAGAGCAUGUGGGCUAAGCUGUGUGCUCGAGAGGGAAACAGCCCGGACCGCCCGCUAAGGUCCCCAAGUUCCAGCCGAGUGGCAAAGGAUGUGCGUCCGCCCAGACAACCAGGAUGUUGGCUUAGAAGCAGCCAUCCAUUCAAAGAGUGCGUAACAGCUCACUGGUCGAGUGGACAUGCGCCGACAAUACACGGGGCUAAGCUGGACACCGAAGCGGCGGGAUUUUAAUUCAUUAGAAUCGGUAGGGGAGCUUCCCAUGGGCGGAGAAGCCGGAGGGCGACCGACGGUGGAGCGCAUGGGAGUGAGAAUGCUGGCAUGAGUAGCGAGAGACGAGAGAGUAACUCGUCCGCCGUGAACCCGAGGUUUCCUGGGCAAGGCUAAUCCUCCCAGGGUCAGUCGGGGGCUAAGGCGAGGCCGGUAGGCGUAGCCGACGCGCAGCAGGCAGACAUUCCUGCACCGCGCACGCGGCGCUACGACCGACGGGGCGACGGAUGGGGGUGGCUCGGCGGGGUUCUGGACGUCCCCGUGAUGGAGCGCGGCCCGCGGACCAGGGAAAUCCGGUCCGCACGAGGGCGAGGCUCCGGACGAAGCGACUGAGCGAAGCGAGUGAGCCCGAGGUCCCUAGAAAAACCCCUAGGCAGGCGCGUGCGCGCCCGUACCGCAAACCGACACAGGUGGGUGGGUAGAACAUACCGAGGCGAUCGGGUCAACCAUGGUCAAGGAACUCGGCACAAUGGCCCCGUAACUUCGGGAGAAGGGGUGCCCGCGCGUACGUGAACGGACUUGCUCCGGGAGCGGAGGCGGGCCGCAGUGGAGAGGCCCAAGCGACUGUUUACCAAAAACACAGGACUCUGCAGAAGCCGCAAGGCGACGUAUAGGGUCUGACGCCUGCCCGGUGCCGGAAGGUCACGCGGAGGAGUUAGCGCAUCGCGCGAAGCCCCGAAGCCAAGCCCCGGUAAACGGCGGCCGUAACUAUAACGGUCCUAAGGUAGCGAAAUUCCUUGUCGGGUAAGUUCCGACCUGCACGAAAGGCGCAACGACUUGGGCGCUGUCUCGACCAUGGACCCGGUGAAAUUGCACUGGUCGUGAAGAUGCGACUUACCCGCGGAAGGACGGAAAGACCCCGUGAACCUUCACUGCAGCUUGGCAUUGGCCGCUGGUCCCGCGUGUAGAGGAUAGGCAGGAGGCAUCGAUCCGGAGGCGCCAGCCCCCGGGGAGCCGCCCUUGGAAUACUGCCCUCGCGCGACCGGCGUCCUAACCCGAGGCCGUCAACCGGCUCGGGGACCGUGCCAGGCGGGCAGUUUGACUGGGGCGGUCGCCUCCUAAAGGGUAACGGAGGCGCGCGAAGGUCCGCUCGGGACGGUCGGCAACCGUCCUUUUGAAUGCAAGAGUACAAGCGGGCUUGACUGCGAGGCCCACAAGCCGAGCAGGUGCGAAAGCAGGCUCUAGUGAUCCGGCGGCCCCGAGUGGGUGGGCCGUCGCUCAACGGAUAAAAGGUACUCCGGGGAUAACAGGCUGAUCUUGCCCAAGAGUCCACAUCGACGGCAAGGUUUGGCACCUCGAUGUCGGCUCAUCGCAUCCUGGGGCUGGAGCAGGUCCCAAGGGUACGGCUGUUCGCCGUUUAAAGCGGUACGCGAGCUGGGUUCAGAACGUCGUGAGACAGUUCGGUCCCUAUCCUCCGUGGGCGCAGGAGAAUCGAUGGAGGCUGCCCCCAGUACGAGAGGACCGGGGUGGACGCACCUCCGGUGAACCGGUUGUCGACCAACGGCACGGCCGGGUAGCCGCGUGCGGCGCGGAUAACCGCUGAAGGCAUCUAAGCGGGAAGCCGUUCCAGGGAUUAGUUCUCCUUCCGGUAAGGGCCCAGGUAGACUACCUGGUCGAUAGACGGCAGGUGCAAGGACGGCGACGUCCUCAGCCGAGCCGCACUAAUCGCCCGAGCUCUUCCGGA
rnacentral:rRNA from 1 species